rnacentral:rRNA from 1 species
CGGGGGGCAGCAGUAGGGAAUCUUGGGCAAUGGGCGAAAGCCUGACCCAGCCAUGCCGCGUGAAUGAUGAAGGUCUUAGGAUUGUAAAAUUCUUUCACCGGGGACGAUAAUGACGGUACCCGGAGAAGAAGCCCCGGCUAACUUCGUGCCAGCAGCCGCGGUAAUACGAAGGGGGCUAGCGUUGCUCGGAAUUACUGGGCGUAAAGGGCGCGUAGGCGGAUCGUUAAGUUAGAGGUGAAAGCCCAGGGCUCAACCUUGGAACUGCCUUUGAUACUGGCGAUCUGGAGUACGGGAGAGGUGUGUGGAACUCCGAGUGUAGAGGUGAAAUUCGUAGAUAUUCGGAAGAACACCAGUGGCGAAGGCGACACACUGGCCCGUUACUGACGCUGAGGCGCGAAAGCGUGGGGAGCAAACAGGAUUAGAUACCCUGGU